AGUAUCUGCCGCGCUGGUGGUUCACCGACUCGGAGCAACGGGCUCGGUGAGGCAAGAGGGAACCUGGUGCGAAACCAGGACUGCCCCGCAGCGGUGAGUGGGAACGAAAGCCGUCAACCAAGCACUGGGUAACCCUGGGAAGCGACGGCCGGUAGGCGUUGGUAGUGCGCCCACGAGUCCGAAGACCUGCCACUGGUGUGCGCGCAAG
rnacentral:ncRNA from 2 species